rnacentral:rRNA from 1 species
GAAUUCGCCCUUAGAGUUUGAUCCUGGCUCAGGAUGAACGCUGGCGGCGUGCCUAAUACAUGCAAGUCGAACGAAUCUCUUUUAGAGAUGAGUGGCGAACGGGUGAGUAAUACAUAGGUAACCUGCCCCUGUGCGGGGGAUAACAGGAGGAAACUCCUGCUAAUACCGCAUAGCCAUGAGCACCGCAUGGAGCUCAUGCCAAAUAUCCUUUAUGGGAUAGCGCAGGGAUGGACCUAUGGCGCAUUAGCUGGUUGGCGGGGCAACGGCCCACCAAGGCAACGAUGCGUAGCCGGCCUGAGAGGGCGGACGGCCACAUUGGGACUGAGACACGGCCCAGACUCCUACGGGAGGCAGCAGUAGGGAAUUUUCGGCAAUGGGGGAAACCCUGACCGAGCAACGCCGCGUGAGCGAAGAAGGCCUUCGGGUCGUAAAGCUCUGUUGUAAAGGAAGAACGGCGCAUACAGGAAAUGGUAUGCGAGUGACGGUACUUUACCAGAAAGCCACGGCUAACUACGUGCCAGCAGCCGCGGUAAUACGUAGGUGGCGAGCGUUAUCCGGAAUCAUUGGGCGUAAAGAGGGAGCAGGCGGCCGCAAGGGUCUGUGGUGAAAGCCCGAAGCUAAACUUCGGUAAGCCAUGGAAACCGGGCGGCUAGAGUGCGGAAGAGGAUCGUGGAAUUCCAUGUGUAGCGGUGAAAUGCGUAGAUAUAUGGAGGAACACCAGUGGCGAAGGCGACGGUCUGGGCCGCAACUGACGCUCAUUCCCGAAAGCGUGGGGAGCAAAUAGGAUUAGAUACCCUAGUAGUCCACGCCGUAAACGAUGGUCACUAAGUGUCGGGGGUCAAACCCCGGUGCUGCAGUCAACGCAAUAAGUGACCCGCCUGAGUAGUACGUUCGCAAGAAUGAAACUCAAAGGAAUUGAC